GAUGAACGCUGGCGGCGUGCCUAACACAUGCAAGUCGAACGGAGACUACGCGGUGUGCGAGGAAUUAGCUUGCUAAGGAAUCAAACAUGCGUAGACUUAGUGGCGGACGGGUGAGUAACGCGUGGGUAACCUGCCCUAUAGAGUGGGAUAGCAGUUAGAAAUGACUGAUAAUACCACAUAAGACCACAGUACGGCAUCGUACAGGGGUCAAAGAUUUAUCGCUAUAGGAUGGACCCGCGUCUGAUUAGCUAGUUGGUGAGGUAACGGCCCACCAAGGCGACGAUCAGUAGCCGGCUUGAGAGAGUGACCGGUCACAUUGGGACUGAGACACGGCCCAAACUCC
rnacentral:rRNA from 1 species